rnacentral:lncRNA from 1 species
ACUUUAAAUGUAAUUAUCCAAAGUAUGGUUCCGGAGACAUUGGGAGAUUGAGCACUCCUUCAGAACGAUUCUACGGGGAAAAAAAACAAAAAACAAAAAACAAAAAAACAGUGGCCAGAGACUUGAGCAGGAUGUGUGAAGGGAUUUAAUAAUGGAACUUGUGGCAACAGUAGACUUCAGAGACCAGACUGGCGGCUUGAAGAAAGCUAUUUUCUCGUACCAAAUACAUUCCAUUUCCUAAAGACAGGGUCUCGGUCUGUUACCCAAGCUGAAGAGCAAUGGGAUGAUCAUGGCUCACUGCAGCCUCAGAUUCCUGGGCUCAAGUGAUCCUCCCAUCUCAGCCUCCCAAGUAGCUGGACCUACAGACAUCCACCAUCAUGCCUGGUUGCAAAGGCAUCAGUGAACCACAUGCUUUUGUGGUUUUGAAGCAUUUGCUAUCACUGGAGAAAAAUAUAAUGAUAAAGGAUAGAAGAAUUUCUUACUCAGCUGUUUUAAACUUAUGGUGGAAAAAUAAAGAGAUGAAGAUAGAGACAGAAUAUUCUCUGCACCCCCAGAAUCAGUUCAUUCAUGGUGCUAACAAACACUUCAAGAAUGUGCCAGAGAACUCGCCUGAUUCACUUUACUGAAACACAAGAUUCACAAGAUGGAAUGUCAGUAUUGCAACUGUGAUGCCUUUAUAUCAUGUGAGAAGAACAAUAGAGUCCUGGGAGGCAAGUGCAGAUGACCCCAAGGUCCUUGUGGACAAGGAAGUAAAAGCUAAGAAGAAAUGGCACGUUUCUUAGGAAACAUUUCAAUAUUGUUAUUUAUACAAGGAUGCAGAGAACAGUACAGCUGGAGAAUUAAAUGGAGAGAUCAGCGCACAGAUGGACUUGCAGAGUGGCAAAUCACUAGAGGGCAAACGUCGCACUGCCUUAGAAAUGGAGUUGGUAUUGGUGAAUUCAACAAGAGGACCAGAAGGAGGAGGAAGAGGGAAGAUUUUAAUGCUGUGCAGUGGUGCUCAGGUCUAGGUCAAGAACAAUGAGUCUCAUAUGAUUGUCUCUUGACUUUGACUAUCACGGCCCCAGGUACUGAAGAUAAGAAUAUAGAGAAGUUUUUCUUCUGACAGACUUGCUGGAAGCCAGGUGGCUAUCGCUGGUAACAAUCCAGGAAGCUAACGGAUAACUUCUGUAACAACUGGACCCACACGGCCAGGACUUGAUUAAUGACUGACAUCUACCCUAAUUUUUGUGCCUACAUCCAAUUUAAGACCAAACAGAGAAAACGAAACACGCACCCCUAACCGAUCAUGCAGAAUGCCCCUACUUCUGUUUAGCCCGCCUACAGCUUCCCCAUGGCAAUAGCCUCCAAUCAGGAUACACCUGAACCCUUCCCUCCCCACCCACUGCCCUGCUAUAAAGCUUUCUCAUUUCUCUGCCUUUGAAUCACUGCCAAAACACAGCGACAGUAGCUAACUCCCUUGUUGUAUAGCAGGCUGUGAAAAAAUAGCACUUGCAUUUCUCAUUUGAUUGGUCGUCAUUUAUUUCUAUAACCAUGUGUUUCAUUCAUGC